rnacentral:rRNA from 1 species
GACGAACGCCGGCGGCGUGCUUAACACAUGCAAGUCGAACGGAAAGGCCCUGCUUGCCGGGUACUCGAGUGGCGAACGGGUGAGUAACACGUGGGUGAUCUGCCCUGCACUUCGGGAUAAGCCUGGGAAACUGGGUCUAAUACCGGAUAGGAGCCAUUUUUAGUGUGAUGGUUGGAAAGUUUUUUCGGUGUAGGAUGAGCUCGCGGCCUAUCAGCUUGUUGGUGGGGUAAUGGCCUACCAAGGCGGCGACGGGUAGCCGGCCUGAGAGGGUGGACGGCCACAUUGGGACUGAGAUACGGCCCAGACUCCUACGGGAGGCAGCAGUGGGGAAUAUUGCACAAUGGGCGCAAGCCUGAUGCAGCGACGCCGCGUGGGGGAUGACGGCCUUCGGGUUGUAAACUCCUUUCGCUAGGGACGAAGCUUUUUGUGACGGUACCUAGAUAAGAAGCACCGGCUAACUACGUG